CGGCGAUGGAUUAGGCAUGCAAGUCGAACGGGAGGCAGCAAUGCGUCCAGUGGCGCAAGGGUGAGGAACACGUGAACAACCUGCCUUCGAGUUGGGGAUAGCUUCUGGAAACGGGAGAUAAUACCGAAUAACAUCACCGGAUCGCAUGAUCUGGUGAUCAAAGCAGCAAUGCGCUUGAAGAGGGGUUCGCGUCCCAUUAGCUAGUUGGUGAGGUAACGGCCCACCAAGGCGAUGAUGGGUAGCUGGUCUGAGAGGACGAUCAGCCACAUUGGGACUGAGAUACUGCCCAGACUCCUACGGGAGGCUGCAGUCGAGAAUUUUGGGCAAUGGACGAAAGUCUGACCCAAGCAAUGCCGCGUGCGGGAUGAAGGUCUUCGGAUUGUAAACCGCUGUCAAGAGGGACGAAACAUGACGGUACCUCUGGAGGAAGCCACGGCUAACUACGUGCCAGCCGCCGC
rnacentral:rRNA from 1 species